rnacentral:misc_RNA from 1 species
AAUUUCUCAAGCUUGGGAUGGCUUUGUUGUCUAUCCUUAGCCUUGGUUGUUGGGCUUUGCCGUGUCCUUCAUUUGGGACGGCUGGCCUUAAAAGCAUUAGCUGAUCCUCGUGUGGCACUGGUUCUACUCAGCGUGAUAAUAGUCUGAUCGCUGAGGACAUCUUUUGGGAUGGCCAGUUCUCAUUUGGGUUGCUUCUAAAUCUGGUUUUGCAGAUUCUUCAAUCUGUUUCCACUUUUCAA